rnacentral:rRNA from 1 species
UAGUUUGACUGGGGCGGUCUCCUCCCAAAGAGUAACGGAGGAGCACGAAGGUUGGCUAAGCAUGGUCGGACAUCAUGCGGUUAGUGCAAAGGCAUAAGCCAGCUUGACUGCGAGAGUGACGGCUCGAGCAGGUACGAAAGUAGGUCUUAGUGAUCCGGUGGUUCUGAAUGGAAGGGCCAUCGCUCAACGGAUAAAAGGUACUCCGGGGAUAACAGGCUGAUACCGCCCAAGAGUUCAUAUCGACGGCGGUGUUUGGCACCUCGAUGUCGGCUCAUCACAUCCUGGGGCUGAAGUAGGUCCCAAGGGUAUGGCUGUUCGCCAUUUAAAGUGGUACGCGAGCUGGGUUUAGAACGUCGUGAGACAGUUCGGUCCCUAUCUGCCGUGGGCGCUGGAAGAUUGAGAGGGGUUGCUCCUAGUACGAGAGGACCGGAGUGAACGCACCACUGGUGUACGGGUUGUGAUGCCAAUUGCAUUGCCCGGUAGCUAAGUGCGGAAGAGAUAACCGC